rnacentral:sRNA from 1 species
AUUGAGGCCUCGGGUGGGGGGUGGCGCCCAGGCUGAUGCAGGGGAACUGAAGCAAAAAGAUUCCAUCCCACAGGCCAAGAGCGAAAUCAGUGUUACCUCCUUUAGCCAGAGAACUGGGUGCACCUGAGCCAGUGGAGAUUUGUGACUUCUCCUUCUUCUAGGAGUGCGUGAUCAGAAUGGUGUCUGGACGGUUCUACUUGUCCUGCCUGCUGCUGGGGUCCCUGGGCUCUAUGUGCAUCCUCUUCACUAUCUACUGGAUGCAGUACUGGCGUGGUGGCUUUGCCUGGAAUGGCAGCAUCUACAUGUUCAACUGGCACCCAGUGCUUAUGGUUGCUGGCAUGGUGGUAUUCUAUGGAGGUGCGUCGCUGGUGUACCGCCUGCCCCAGUCGUGGGUGGGGCCCAAACUGCCCUGGAAACUCCUCCAUGCAGCGCUGCACCUGAUGGCCUUCGUCCUCACUGUUGUGGGGCUGGUUGCUGUCUUUACGUUUCACAACCAUGGAAGGACUGCCAACCUCUACUCCCUGCACAGCUGGCUGGGCAUCACCACUGUCUUCCUCUUCGCCUGCCAGAGCGCUCUCUGCUAACUUUGUCAUGGCACGCACUAUGCUGACUCUAAUCAGCCAUCUGGCUUCCACUUUCCCCACUCCCACCUCUGUGAACCAAAAGAAUUCUUGAAGUGGUUUCCAUAUUCUGAUCUCAGGUCUGUGCGAGUGAAGAGUUUUAUGAGCAAGGACUGGAAGGAACCAGAGACAAACAAGGUGGUUGGGUUUGCUGGGAGUGGGAUGGUAGCUAAGCAUGUCAUUUACUGUUCUUGUUGCUUGGGUAAUAGGCCACAAUGAGGAAGCUAGCACGGUAGUGGGCAAUGCCAGGUGGGAAGGUUUGAGUUGUGAAAGAAGAGCCAGGGAGCAGAGAUGGGGAGGAGGCACUGAUGGGGUGGGAUGUGCUUUGGUCACACAUAGCACAGUCGGGUGCGUCCUCCCUUUUGUCCACAGUGGUUCCUGGGCUUUGCUGUCUUCCUCCUGCCCU